UAAAACCGAUAAUUAACAAAGGGGUCCCUUUCACCACCGACGAGCUUGUAAAAUGUCAAAAUCAAAUGAAAAUUAAAUUUGAUGUUGAUAUUUACAAGCACAUUAGAGAGAAAAGGGAAUUAUAGAUCAAUCAUUUGUUAAUUGCCGAUUUUAGUCUCCUUUUUCCACUAUUCGUAUUUACACAGCUUAACCACCAUAACUUGCAUUGUUGGUUUAAGGAAACAAUAACAAUUGUAUGAAAAAACAAGAGUGGAUCGUUUUGGUGCGUAAAAUAGGGAUAUAGGGAAACUUAGAGAGGAUUAAAAGCGGGUAGAUGAAGGAAAAAUGUAAAACAAAAAUGGGAACCAAACAAGAUAUAUAGGGAGAGAACGAAUGCAGAACAAGAAUAAAGGAAGGCAGAGGGAGUAUAUAGACAAGUGUAGUGCCAUGGUCUCCCCAUUGAAACUAGGUGAAGAAGGUUUGGAUACGAUCUGAAACUGAAGUCUAUGAAGAGAAUAUUAAGAUUGAAAUUUAAAAUAAGAGAAUAUGGUGCUGAUUGACAUUUUACAAGAUAUGAUGCUGAAGUUUUUUUAGAGACAAUGUUAUCUCAAAGAGAAAAGAGCAAGUAAAUGCUAAUUUCACUAGGGGGCCAUAGUGCUCACAUUGUGUGCACGCCUUUUUUUAUGCAGAAAAGUUAUCGCACAGUAGGUGUGGCAGCGGGUGUGGUGUACUAUGCAGUAUUUGGAACAGUCGUAACCGACACUUAUGGGACGACAUUAAAGACAGCUGCAAAGUAUAUUCUGCAGACAGAGGCAAUGUGCUUAUGCAAUAGUGAGGAAUGAUAAUUCUGCAGACAGAGGCGCAUAGCAGAAAUAGCAGUCCUGCAACUCAGGCGAAAUGGUUAAAGUCUGCAGCUAGUAAAGUGCAAUGGGGAUGCAACUUUCAGUGACUAAUGUAUUGGCCUUGGUAUAUGUCUUAGAGUUGAGAACAAGCAGUUUUUAAAUGCUAAAAUCAAUAGGUAUUCCGUAAUAUAUCUCUAGCUAAACUCGUUUGCUAGGAAUUACCUGCGAAUUCGCUGUGAAAAUGGGCGUAGCAGAUCACAUAUUUUCUUGUCGUGUAUUAUGUUCAAAAAAGAAACGUUGGUUUGUAACAUGGUGUUUGCUAUAGUGUAUGAAGAUUAUUUUAUGGGACUCUACUA